GGCGGCAUAGCCAAGUGGUAAGGCAGAGGACUGCAAAUCCUUUAUCCCCAGUUCGAAUCUGGGUGCCGCCUCCA
rnacentral:tRNA from 16 species